GGUUAAGCGACUAAGCGUACACGGUGGAUGCCCUGGCAGUCAGAGGCGAUGAAGGACGUGCUAAUCUGCGAUAAGCGUCGGUAAGGUGAUAUGAACCGUUAUAACCGGCGAUUUCCGAAUGGGGAAACCCAGUGUGAUUCGUCACACUAUCAUUAACUGAAUCCAUAGGUUAAUGAGGCGAACCGGGGGAACUGAAACAUCUAAGUACCCCGAGGAAAAGAAAUCAACCGAGAUUCCCCCAGUAGCGGCGAGCGAACGGGGAGCAGCCCAGAGCCUGAAUCAGUGUGUGUGUUAGUGGAAGCGUCUGGAAAGGCGCGCGAUACAGGGUGACAGCCCCGUACACAAAAAUGCACAUGCUGUGAGCUCGAUGAGUAGGGCGGGACACGUGGUAUCCUGUCUGAAUAUGGGGGGACCAUCCUCCAAGGCUAAAUACUCCUGACUGACCGAUAGUGAACCAGUACCGUGAGGGAAAGGCGAAAAGAACCCCGGCGAGGGGAGUGAAAAAGAACCUGAAACCGUGUACGUACAAGCAGUGGGAGCACAGAGCAAUCUGUGUGACUGCGUACCUUUUGUAUAAUGGGUCAGCGACUUAUAUUCUGUAGCAAGGUUAACCGAAUAGGGGAGCCGAAGGGAAACCGAGUCUUAACUGGGCGUUAAGUUGCAGGGUAUAGACCCGAAACCCGGUGAUCUAGCCAUGGGCAGGUUGAAGGUUGGGUAACACUAACUGGAGGACCGAACCGACUAAUGUUGAAAAAUUAGCGGAUGACUUGUGGCUGGGGGUGAAAGGCCAAUCAAACCGGGAGAUAGCUGGUUCUCCCCGAAAGCUAUUUAGGUAGCGCCUCGUGAAUUCAUCUCCGGGGGUAGAGCACUGUUUCGGCAAGGGGGUCAUCCCGACUUACCAACCCGAUGCAAACUGCGAAUACCGGAGAAUGUUAUCACGGGAGACACACGGCGGGUGCUAACGUCCGUCGUGAAGAGGGAAACAACCCAGACCGCCAGCUAAGGUCCCAAAGUCAUGGUUAAGUGGGAAACGAUGUGGGAAGGCCCAGACAGCCAGGAUGUUGGCUUAGAAGCAGCCAUCAUUUAAAGAAAGCGUAAUAGCUCACUGGUCGAGUCGGCCUGCGCGGAAGAUGUAACGGGGCUAAACCAUGCACCGAAGCUGCGGCAGCGACGCUGAUGCGUUGUUGGGUAGGGGAGCGUUCUGUAAGCCUGCGAAGGUGUGCUGUGAGGCAUGCUGGAGGUAUCAGAAGUGCGAAUGCUGACAUAAGUAACGAUAAAGCGGGUGAAAAGCCCGCUCGCCGGAAGACCAAGGGUUCCUGUCCAACGUUAAUCGGGGCAGGGUGAGUCGACCCCUAAGGCGAGGCCGAAAGGCGUAGUCGAUGGGAAACAGGUUAAUAUUCCUGUACUUGGUGUUACUGCGAAGGGGGGACGGAGAAGGCUAUGUUGGCCGGGCGACGGUUGUCCCGGUUUAAGCGUGUAGGCUGGUUUUCCAGGCAAAUCCGGAAAAUCAAGGCUGAGGCGUGAUGACGAGGCACUACGGUGCUGAAGCAACAAAUGCCCUGCUUCCAGGAAAAGCCUCUAAGCAUCAGGUAACAUCAAAUCGUACCCCAAACCGACACAGGUGGUCAGGUAGAGAAUACCAAGGCGCUUGAGAGAACUCGGGUGAAGGAACUAGGCAAAAUGGUGCCGUAACUUCGGGAGAAGGCACGCUGAUAUGUAGGUGAAGCGACUUGCUCGUGGAGCUGAAAUCAGUCGAAGAUACCAGCUGGCUGCAACUGUUUAUUAAAAACACAGCACUGUGCAAACACGAAAGUGGACGUAUACGGUGUGACGCCUGCCCGGUGCCGGAAGGUUAAUUGAUGGGGUUAGCGCAAGCGAAGCUCUUGAUCGAAGCCCCGGUAAACGGCGGCCGUAACUAUAACGGUCCUAAGGUAGCGAAAUUCCUUGUCGGGUAAGUUCCGACCUGCACGAAUGGCGUAAUGAUGGCCAGGCUGUCUCCACCCGAGACUCAGUGAAAUUGAACUCGCUGUGAAGAUGCAGUGUACCCGCGGCAAGACGGAAAGACCCCGUGAACCUUUACUAUAGCUUGACACUGAACAUUGAGCCUUGAUGUGUAGGAUAGGUGGGAGGCUUUGAAGUGUGGACGCCAGUCUGCAUGGAGCCGACCUUGAAAUACCACCCUUUAAUGUUUGAUGUUCUAACGUGGACCCGUAAUCCGGGUUGCGGACAGUGUCUGGUGGGUAGUUUGACUGGGGCGGUCUCCUCCUAAAGAGUAACGGAGGAGCACGAAGGUUGGCUAAUCCUGGUCGGACAUCAGGAGGUUAGUGCAAUGGCAUAAGCCAGCUUGACUGCGAGCGUGACGGCGCGAGCAGGUGCGAAAGCAGGUCAUAGUGAUCCGGUGGUUCUGAAUGGAAGGGCCAUCGCUCAACGGAUAAAAGGUACUCCGGGGAUAACAGGCUGAUACCGCCCAAGAGUUCAUAUCGACGGCGGUGUUUGGCACCUCGAUGUCGGCUCAUCACAUCCUGGGGCUGAAGUAGGUCCCAAGGGUAUGGCUGUUCGCCAUUUAAAGUGGUACGCGAGCUGGGUUUAGAACGUCGUGAGACAGUUCGGUCCCUAUCUGCCGUGGGCGCUGGAGAAUUGAGGGGGGCUGCUCCUAGUACGAGAGGACCGGAGUGGACGCAUCACUGGUGUUCGGGUUGUCAUGCCAAUGGCACUGCCCGGUAGCUAAAUGCGGAAGAGAUAAGUGCUGAAAGCAUCUAAGCACGAAACUUGCCCCGAGAUGAGUUCUCCCUGACUCCUUGAGAGUCCUGAAGGAACGUUGAAGACGACGACGUUGAUAGGCCGGGUGUGUAAGCGCAGCGAUGCGUUGAGCUAACCGGUACUAAUGAACCGUGAGGCUUAACCUU
rnacentral:rRNA from 1 species